ensembl:lncRNA
AUUUUAUAGUUGCUUUAUUUAACAAAAUUUACGCCAACGUCUCUAUCUAUAUACAUACGUGUUUCAGAAUCAGAGCAGCAGACACACAAACUGUUCACGCAGGACUUAGAAUAAUGCUUCUAACAUUAUGCAGUGUUUUCCGCUCAUACUGACAUUUACAGAUUCAGAAAUUAUUCCCAAGGCUGAGCAGCAUCACAUCUUCAUUUUCUGGGAUGGCUUGUACAGUGUGUCCUAAAGAAAGAGGGAUGGAACUUCGGAGGGUGAAAACGUUGUGUUUGGAUUAUUAGUUCACCAAAGAGCACUGGGCCUGUAAGAGGGGCUCCCAAAAUGCUGUGGCCUGGGGAUACAAAUCUGAGUGAAACAGAAUCCGAGUCUACCGUAAAAAAGAUUGUUCACGCCGCCAUACCGUAAGUAUAACAAGAUCGUCUCAUUUCGGAGCCCCCAGAGGAAGAAAAUCUACUUUAGAGAGUAAGUUGAAACGGAUGUGAAUAGUAAGUACUCUGAAUGUGGGUAGAAGGCGUACAGAUACUCAGGUCGGGUCUGCCCCCGCCUCCUCCCGUCUGGUUAGGAAUGAUGUGUUCGUUUCCUGACAGUAACCUACAUGACACGCUCCUUUCUGAAGGUCUUUACAGAUACAGGGAAGACGGAUGGCCAUUUUUGCCUUCUCGUGUUACGAUUUCCAGGCGCCCUCAAUUUCUUACAAGUUGCUGCUGCUGCAAAGUGUAAAUACGUCACUGGACACUCAACGCCGACCUGACUCUCGGUCACCUUUCCCGGCCCGACGGGAAAGCUGCUGCUGCGCAGUGAGGUAGAGAAGGAGGAGGAGAAAGCGUACACCUCAGCCCUUCCUCCUCCUCUCAUCGGCUUAAGAGCCUUCUUUCAUGCUGGGGCGGGGGGGGGGCAAGAGGUCUAGGGACAGACCUCGAGAAUGCCCUCCUUUCCGUCGUGAGGCCGGGCACACGGCCCAUUUCCCCGCAGCGCCAACCAGAACUGCACGGGGACUAAGCACGGUACUGCGACAACCCGCAGCGGCUCCUGCUCCCACUUCUUCCCGUAAAUCAGACCCCUCGCUUACUGUGCUUUCAUUUUCUAAAAAUGAGAUCAGACCAUUAUAAAAACGUACUUCCAAAAUAAAUUAUUUCUAGAGUAUAAAAAUGUUUUAUAUUUUUCCACCCCACAAUUACAAGUUCAUUAUAAAAUAGGAAAUCAGAAAAUUAGCUACUGUAGUUUUCAUAGGGUAAAAAAUAUUUAUAUGUGUACACACACAUACACAUAUAAAAAACCCCCAAGUUUUACAUUUCCGUAAGGACUAACGAAAUGUUAACGGUGAUGGGCUGAACUACACACAAGCCGUAGUGAUGAUCUGUAAUGAGAACCAACCACACAGAAUUACAAGCUGAAGAACCAGGAUAAUCUGACUUUCUCAAGUGGAAAAAAAAACAACAACGAAAAACCAGGAAUUCUCCAUCUGACUCCCCAACACAGCAGAGAAGCUCACGCGUGCCUUUUUCAGCUGCAACAACCCCCGGCUUCUUUCAGGGCACUCAGUUCUGAGGAAGCAGGCCUGACAAGGAGGAAAACACGAGAGGUGGGGCUGCCCCUGCUGGGUGGGCAGGUGAGGGCUAAGGUCCAGCCAGCCACCUGCCCGAGAUGUCGCCGCGGGGCAGAGCGCCCGCUUUCUCUACUGCACACAGAGGAGUGGCUCCCCAGGCGGGGUGUGCGGCAGGCAGGGAAGCUGAGGCAGGCAGAGGCUGAGAUCAACUAGUGGCUGAAAACCAGGGACUGCCUUCCUCCAGCCUGAACGAAGAGGGUGGGAGGGCUACACUUUGCUCAUUCCUGCCUCUUUUUAGGAUUCGCACAAGGGAACACUUUAAGGGGCCUCAAGCAAAGAAAAGGGAUGGGUGAGAGGGGACGCUGUCAUUCCACAGGAGGGAGCAGGACUCGACCUGGGGCCGAGUCUGUGAUGCGCUGGGACGGAAGCGGGGUGAGCGGCCUCUGCCGCGUCUGGGUAGAGUCCCACGUGGAAGCUGGCAGGUGCGCUAGAGCCACAGCUGCUUCGCAAUCCUAGCCUGAACUGCCUCCCUGGACUUGACCAUGUAGUCAGAAGCCUGUCCAGUUCAUCUUAAAACUGGCUACUUCCUUGGCUUUUGCGUGAGCGGUGGGGGCACAUGGAGACAAUUUUAGAUAUUUUCC